ensembl:lncRNA
AAAUAAUUGAUAACACUAUCAGGAAAACAAUCCCAUGGACCACUUGGUUACUAAUUAAAAAAGACUAAUGAUUCUCAAUUUCAAUUGCUAUUCCUUCAGGAGAAAAUGAAGGAAGAUAUCAACGUUGCAACAGUUACUUUCCAUCAACAAUUGCUCAUUUAUUUUACCUCCUACAGCUGUGGUAGUAUGCACAACACAGUGGUUUCUCCUCGGCAUCAGUUCAAAAGAAGCUCAAAAACAAAUGAAAGAAAAUACGAGUUCCAUGUCUGAAGUGAGGAGAUUAAGGGAUACUGGACAACUCAUCUCUGAAGAAACUUCAGAGAGCUUUAUUUUUGGCAGCUGGACGGUUGUUCCAAUAGUGCUGUGCAGCUUGCUGGAUGGAGGAGGAUAUUGACUGAUGUGACACCUGCUUGCUGUGAGUCUUACUCUGGUUCCUCUGCAACUUCUCUACAGUGUUACAAAAUAAAGUUGAUGGCACAGGACCUCAGUUUUGAAGUUAAUGUUUGGUGCCUGGGACAUCUCAAAAUUCAAGAGCUGAACUUUUUGGGAUGAAAAUCUUCGGAGAGAAUCAGGCAUUGAUCUAUUAUUUUCUUAGUCAGAGCUUCCACCAUGAGGCUGCCAAAGAAAUAAAUGUCACCUUCUUCACUUUCUUCAGAUGCAGUUUUUGGAAGUGAUAACUGGAACUGCAGUCUGUGAUAUAUAAAAUAUAAGUGUACAUUGGAUUGAGCUCCCGAAAAGGAUUUUGGUAAUGGGAUGUCCUGUUUCUGGAUCCUGUUUAGGCAAUGGGAUUUAGGAUGCUCUACCUAUUAAGAUAGAUACUGUUGCAAUGCAUAUACAGAAAUGAAAUUUUAUGAUUUAGUUCUGAACAACAUUGAGGCACUGAGGUAUAAUCAGCUAGUAAUAGUUGAAAGCAUUGUUUUUCAGAGUAACAGAUUUGUAUUCAAAUAUAUGAAUUCUAACCCACUCCCACUUUGAGUGAUUUGCUAUCUGAGUGAGCAGCAGGAAAUCUUGCAGAUAUUUUUCACUGCAGCAUCCUGAAGAAGCUCAUACUAUUUUCUUUUUUUGUCGUCUUCUUGGUUUUACAGACAUAAUAUAUCCCUAUAUGUUUCUCCAGCAGAACUACAGAUGUCUCCCAUUACUUUUCUACAGCAACAUGGGUUAGAGCUUUCUCUAUAUGAAAAAAAAAAAAAAAAUGCUAUAAGCCUCAUUUUCACAGUGGUUAUAAUGAUUGUCUUCAAUAGGGCAAUCCUUGCUGCAAGCAUUUCACGACAGUCUCAGUGAGCACAACGCAAAGUCUUUUAAUGCCUCAUCUUCAGGGUGUGGUAAGAUGAUGGGUAUUACAUGAUGCCUAGAAAGAAAUACCUAAUUUUGACCUUUUCAUUGUUUUCAUUAGGAAGGAAGCAAACAAAAAUAUUCUUUUUCCUUUUCCUUUUCCUUUUCCUUUUCCUUUUCCUUUUCCUUUUCCUCCUUCUCCUUCUCCUUCUCCUUCUCCUUCCUUCUCCUUCUCCUUCUCCUUCUCCUUCUCCUUCUCCUUCUCCUUCUCCUUCUCCUUCUCCUUCUCCUUCUCCUUCUCCUUCUCCUUCUCCUUCUCUUUCUUUUUCCUUUUCCUUUUUCUCUUUAAAUAAUAACCUGGAAGUAUGGUUGUGCAAAAGCAGAAAUUUUGUUCAAAGAAAGAUUUCCUUUGAGCAAAAAGUACAUUUUAAAGAAAUAAAUUUGACCAUUUUUAGUAACUUACAUGAAAGAAAGAAGAGCUACUGUGAACAGGAAUUCUGAAUUUUUAUGAAUGCCAAUGGUGCUGCUAAAUUAAAAUUUUUCAACUUUUUCCCUUAGUUGGAUCAAAUGUGUUUAAAUUUAUAAAUUAGUAACCAGUUAUUUACAGACAACAAUUUGAAAAUAAGUCAGAGAAAACCAGUAGCAUUUGCCUCAGUACUACUAGAAAGACUGAAUGUAUACCUAGUCACAUUAAGAAAACAGUUACAAGGACCUACAAAACUCAUGCUGACAUUUAGACAGAAAGAACAUAAGCAUCUUUAGGCAAACAAAUUAGUAAGUCUAGCUAUGAAUAGUAAAGCCUCCCACACUAUCUCUGAAUCAGUUACCAACUUGCCUAGUAUAUAUCUGAUGGGCAGCCAAAUGGGAUGUUAUAGAAUGAGCAGCAAACCCUUGAAUAAAAAGUGGACACCCAAGGUGCCAUUUUGAUUAGUAUCUAUCUAUUAAGAUAGUUAGAGGUUUUUUCCUCUUUAAGCUGAUGUAACAUCAGAGAAAGAAGUCUUUGACUUGACCAGAAAUCCUUGACUUGGUUCUUAGAAACCUGAGGAGCACUAGAGUUUAGGCUGGAGAUAUGAAACUUUUUGUGGAAAACUACCACUAUUCUAUCAGAACUUAGCAAAAAAUUCAUUUUGUCAUGUUGAGUGGUGAAUUUUUUGUCCUAACACAUACAGGUUUUGGAAAGCUAUAAAGAAGAAACUUCACUCAACCCAGCUUGCUCCAUCAGUCUAGGAAAAAGCUAUUAGUGUGAAAAGAAAUUCCAAAAGUUUUAGGAGUUGAGAUUCACCUAAAAAUUUAUAUCUGCUAAGUAGAGUGAAAAUUUGAGGAGGAGUACAACUGAAAAGCAGGAACGCAAAUAAAUGUUAUUUCUGUAGAAGUUCAUGGGACUUUUGCUUGCAUGGAAGCCCAAAAGAGUCUGUAGAAUGUUGCCAGUACAUUCAGAAUAAAAUAGGAAUUUUAGAAAAGCAGAAGGAUUUGGCAAUGUCAUGUCCAGGAAUGAAGAAUAAUCAGAAUAAAUUAAGUAGGUCAUGGGAUGGACAGACUCAUAUAAUUACAAUGAAAUCAUAAUAUAAAUCAUUGGAGAACCAGCAGUGGUAAACACUGUUAGGUGGUUUUUUUUAUUGUUGUUUUUUGUGUAUGUGUGUUUGUUUUUGUGGUUUGUUUUUUUUUUCACUGAGGUAGCCAUAUUACAAGCAGGCAGCAUGAAUUACUUUAUUGAAUAUUCAAAGAUGUUUUGAAUACCCUGUAACUUCUUAUGAGAUUAUCAACCACCAUUUUCAGAUGUGCCUUAGGUCACUAAAAUGAUACACAGGACAUCAUUAUGCUUCCUAAAUGAUCUCAAUGCAGCAAUUUCAAUACAGUAGUUUGAUAACCAAUUAAGUGGCAUUCUAAACAUUUUAAGUUUUUCAUAUUUUCAAAAAAUCUCAGUAAGUGAAUAGUGCUAUGUAGUCAAUUUUUAACCCUCACGUGUAAUGACUGGUAAAGGAAGAUGAUUAAAAUCAACCUGGAAUGGUUUGGAUGUGCAAAAAUGUCAAAAUAUCAUGAGAUUAUGUACAGUCUUUAACUAAUGGACCAGUAAUUUGUAGUGAGAGUCAUGAGGCCUUCUGUUAUACAGACCUUUUGUUGAUUUGUCAGGGGAAAACUUUCUUCAGUACUUUUCUUGUAUGAUAUAAAUAAUCAUCACAGGUAGCAGUAAAUAAUUCUUGACUCUAGUUACCUAAAUGAACUUACUGAAACUUAGUGAAACAUCUGUAACAACACUUAGCAGCACUUGCAAAGAAAUCUUGUGCAGUAGUAGCAAAGGGAAACAGCAAUAUUUAGUCUGACAAGCUUUAACUCCAGUCACUGCCAGCCCAUUUUCAAAGGAAAAAAUUGCAGUCUGACUCAGGAUAAAUAUUAUAUGGACUGCUUUGUGGUAAAUCAUUCAUAAAGAAAGGUAGACUGUUCACCAAGAUUAUCUUUCUGAUUCAAAUGUAGCAAAAUGUUAGAUUUUACUUGGGCUCAUUUGUUUUCCUGAAAGACAUUUGAAUAAGCAAAAACCUGUAGAUCUCUCUCUUCUGGUUCCUUUGUUGAGGCAAUAGCUACCACACACAAAGGGACUGUAUAGGCAGGAUAAAGGCAGCUUUAAUACCCUGCACAGUUCCCAACAGCUGGAUGUAGUGUGCAGCUCUGCCAACAAGUCUGUGUAAGCCCAGCAGCACAAAUGAGGUGGUGACACACCAGCAACAACUGCUCUUGGAAUGUACUCACCAUCAGUUUACUGGAAACAUCUUCCAGCUCCACUGGUCUCCCUUUAGUUUUUGGAUACCUUCCUAGAGCCUUUCUAUUUAACCCCUGAAUCCCUGAACUGCAGACAGUCUUACAUUGACUCACUUACUUUUGCUUGCAGUUUUACUUUUCUUAUCUCACUGGGUUUCCAUCCAUAUAUUUUCUUACAGUUUCCUCAGCAGGAAUGCAGCUUUCCCAGAUGUUUGUGUUGAGUUUACACAGUUAUGCCAGGUCAUUGCUUGGCUGUGGAUCAGGGAGCAUUGAUCAUUCAGAAGGGAGGUUGCCAAUCUGACAGGUGACAGAUCUGCCAGCUCUUCCCAGAAAGAGACUGAGAACCGACAGGAGGAAAUCGAAUGCACUUUAAAUCUGAAAUCUGUCAUCAGAGUAGCAGUCUUCACAAACUCAACUUUUCAAAGAAGGAAAUGUAUAUUUGCACAUUUUUAUAAUACCUAGUAUAAUAGGCCUUUAAUUUUCACUGAGGCCUCUGAAGUGUUGUGUUAUAAAUAUUUCAUAAUCAUGUAGCUGUGUCUCCAUCUCUGUGUACAUCGUCUUCAAACAAGCAGGAAAUAUUGCUGUUUAUCAUGCCCAGCAGCCACUUAAUAUGUGUAACAGGAUGGGCUUUAGUACAGCAGGCUAUCUGAUCACCCCUGUGGAUAAUUUACUGCUGUUUUUCUUCAGUCAGCCAUUCUCUUAACUGAAAAGGGGUGCAGGGGAGACUUAUUCCACUGUAAGGAGUGGAUUUGUAUUAGCUACAUGAAGCCUUGUUUAAACUUGCAGAAGAGUAUUGACACUAUCAAGUCAGAUGCCUGGAUGUCAAGUAUAAGUCCCUUAUAUAAUGACUGAAGCGUCCAGAAUGUAAUUCAGUACAUUUUGAAAAAUGUCAAUGCUUUAGAUUUAAGUUGUACUGAGGAACAACCAUAUGCUACAUUUAAAUAAACUUAAAAUCAGUUUAUAAGCAUUGUAUAAGGGUUCUAUAAGAAUAAGAAUGAAGGCUUAAAUGUGCCUUGCAACAUUACUUCUCUGACAGAUUAUUGAGCUGUACAUAAGAAUGCUUGUUUAGAUACGUGUAUAUAGAGAGACAGAGAGUGCUAUCCUAAACCGUAGAAGGUGUAAUGUCAGUUUUUGAUAGUCCACAGGAAGAUUACACAUUAAAUAUUGUAGAGAGAGAGAGAGACACUGUUAUUUCACGAGCGAUUUGAAAUCAGAUAAUGUCUGUAAAACGCUGAACUAUAUAUGUAUGGAGAUAUUAUACAUAUGUAAUAUGCUUAUUGUAUAUGCAUGCAAACACUUAAAUGUAUCAAUACGUAGAUGCAUUUUAUAUAAAUUAUUUAUAUACUUAUAUAUAUACACUGUGAUAUGAUCACUGCUGCCUCAGGGCAGCUGCCUACAUUCUCUAGGAAAGCAAAUUAUCUCUAGUACAAUACAUCUAUUAGUUAAUUACAGUAUUUGCAUACUUGAUUAUAAAAUAUAUAAAGUAUUUCUAGAUUUGAGAAUUCAUAGACUUUGAGUAGCUUAGUUUAUAAGUGCUCCAUAUUACCUAUGUUAUGUUAGAAUGGCACACUGGAAUGGGAAGAGGACAAAUGAAAUUAAAACAUUAAAUUUAUUACAGUUAUAAAAAUAUGUACACUUUUUAUACAACAAAUAAUUAGACGGUGAAACACCUUGUCGAAAAAUUGUGGAUAAUUGCCUAGUAGGAUGAAAACAGCUGAAUAUAAGUGAGUAAUUAUUAUACCCUGCGGAAUUGCAUUAACUAAACAAACAAUUUAUAAUGGAUAUCAAUAGUCAUUCUAUAUAAUAUAAGCUUACCUGCUUAACAAACUAGAAGAAACAUUCCCUACAGACAAGCAUUUGCAUAAUCCUCAAUUAGGUAUUUGGAGAGGCAUAAAUUUUAAGGCCAAGAGAGAUUGUUAAGAUCAUGUCACCUGACCUUUGAAUAAGCAUGUGCAGCAGAAUGCUGUUAAGUCAUUCCUGACUCAGCCCUUGGUUACCAGCUUUAUUUUAGGAAGAAGAAUUUUAAACUGUUUUCUUUCUAGUUUCAGAUUCUAACUUCUUAUUGGAAAGCUGCUGGAGACCUUUUCUUGCUAUGCUGUUAUUUGGAGUGAAUAAAGAAUCUUUUCUACUUUCAGCUCAGUAUUUGUGCAGCAUGUUUUCAAGUAUGACAAAUGAGCAGGAAGAAAUUGAGCUAGGAACAUCCUAGCUCCUAGGCUGUGUGUCCUGAUCAUGCCCCAGGUGUGUAUGAAAUGAGAACUCCUUCUAGGUGUGUACCAGUUUUCUGUUUCCUUUUCUGCCCCGUGUCCAUCUCCAUCGAUCAUCUCACACUCUGUGUUCCAGUAUUCUUAAAAUUAAGCCUAGGAAUAUGUGCUAGAACAGAGCCAAGUCAUGCAAGAUAAACAACUCCCUGCAAAUGUAUGCUUUAUUUAAAGGUCAGAAUUAGUAAUCAGCCCUUGCAGAUUUCGAAGAUUUUUAUCCUGGCAUGCUAUAGCAUACAUUUCAGGCUCCAGCUGAACUAUGAGCAGACAAGCUCAGGCCUUUUUAAAGAUUUUUUUAAGAUUUUUUCAAAAUCUUUAAAAAUGUGAAAACUCAGCAAGAAAAUCAAUGUUCAGUUCUGCCUAGAUUUCAAUUGAAGCUUCAUGUACACUUCAUUUCAGCAAGGUAAUCCUAAAGGGAUAAAAGUGUAGUGAUUCUUUUGUCACAACAAUUUCAAGAUCAGGCAGAAUAGAAUAAACAUGUCUUGGACUGUGCUGCUUUCUGACUGCUAAAACCAAAAUCUUUUAAUCCAGCCUUAGUGUCAAACUGAAGAAGGGUCUUCCUUUAAAAUCUUUGCUGCUUCUGCCAGCUUUUUCCUGCUCUUGUAUUCCAGCAC